rnacentral:tRNA from 1 species
GAGAGUAUAGCUCAAAUGGUAGAGUACAUACCUAAUAGGCACGAGGUCCUGGGUUCAAUCCCCAGUACCUGCG